UACGUAGGUGGCAAGCGUUAUCCGGAAUGAUUGGGCGUAAAGGGUGCGCAGGCGGCAUAUCAAGUCUGAAGUGAAAGGUACGGGCUCAACCUGUACAGGCUUUGGAAACUGGUAUGCUCGAGGACAGGAGAGGGCGGUGGAACUCCACGUGUAGCGGUAAAAUGCGUAGAGAUGUGGAAGAACACCAGUGGCGAAGGCGGCCGCCUGGCCUGUAACUGACGCUCAGGCACGAAAGCGUGGGGAGCAAAUAGG
rnacentral:rRNA from 1 species